rnacentral:rRNA from 1 species
GACGAACGCUGGCGGCGUGCCUAAUACAUGCAAGUCGAACGCAGUGGGGACGGGUGAGUAACACGUGGGUAACCUCCCAUCAGAGGGGAUAACACUUGGAAACAGGUGCUAAACCGAUACUGAUGGAUGGACCCGCUGUGCAUUAGCUAGUUGGUGGGGUAACGGCUCACCAAGGCCACGAUGCAUAGCUGGUCUGAGAGGAUGACCGGCAACACUGGGACUGAGACACGGCCCAGACUCCUACGGGAGGCAGCAGUAGGGAAUCUUGGGCAAUGGACGAAAGUCUGACCGAGCAAUGCCGCGUGUGUGAAGAAGGUUUUCGGAUCGUAAAACUCUGUUGUCGGAGAAGCGUUAUCUACACAGAAAGCAACGGCUAACUACGUGCCAGCAGCCGCGGUAAUUC